ACCCACAGUGGAUCAGGACCCCACAGGUAAGAAUGCAGUGUCCAGAUGGACUGAUGGAUGGCUUCUCUCGCUGGCUCCUGUGAAGCUAUUGCGUUCUUUACUGAAUGUCAUGAGAGGACUUGGUUCAUCUUCGCUGACCACUUGCUAUGGCUCGACCAAACUGAGGAAACGUGGCAAGGCCCCACGGAUGUCGCCAAACCCACAGGCUGUCCCUGCCAGGGAGCAGCGCCUGUCUUUGCAGAGAGCUGCUUGCAGCAUAUGCUUCCUCCUGCCUGAGCUCACACAGAAGCAGAUUGCACCCGAUCCCUGCUGGCUCUUCUCCCCGCAGCCUGGAUUUACAAGAUGGUGCAUUAAUAGGCCCCGUGUUUGUCCCAGGCAAGGAGUUCUGUGGUGUCCAUAGGAGCUUUGAAUUAAGGACUCCGGGGUUUU
rnacentral:lncRNA from 1 species